CAGUCGAACGGACUCAUAUUGAAACCUAGUGAUUUAUGAGUUAGUGGCGGACGGGUGAGUAACACGUGAGCAACCUGCCUUCGAGAGGGGAAUAACGGCUGGAAACGGUCGCUAAUACCGCAUAAUGUACGGAUGGGACAUCCUGUUUGUACCAAAGAUUUAUCGCUCGAAGAUGGGCUCGCGUCCGAUUAGGUAGUUGGUGAGGUAACGGCCCACCAAGCCGACGAUCGGUAGCCGGACUGAGAGGUUGAACGGCCACAUUGGGACUGAGACACGGCCCAGACUCCUACGGGAGGCAGCAGUGGGGGAUAUUGCACAAUGGGGGAAACCCUGAUGCAGCGACGCCGCGUGUGGGAAGACGGUCUUCUGGAUUGUAAACCACUGUCCCCAGGGACGAAAAUGACGGUACCUGGGGAGGAAGCUCCGGCUAACUACGUGCCAGCAGCCGCGGUAAUACGUAGGGAGCAAGCGUUGUCCGGAAUUACUGGGUGUAAAGGGAGCGUAGGCGGGGAUGCAAGUUGGGUGUCAAAACUACCGGCUCAACCGAUAGUCGCACUCAAAACUGCAGCUCUUGAGUGAAGUAGAGGCAGGCGGAAUUCCUAGUGUAGCGGUGAAAUGCGUAGAUAUUAGGAGGAACACCAGUGGCGAAGGCGGCCUGCUGGGCUUUUACUGACGCUGAGGCUCGAAAGUGUGGGGAGCAAACAGGAUUAGAUACCCUGGUAGUCCACACCGUAAACGAUGAUUACUAGGUGUGGGGGGUCUGACCCCCUCCGUGCCGGAGCAAACGCAAUAAGUAAUCCACCUGGGGAGUACGGCCGCAAGGUUGAAACU
rnacentral:rRNA from 1 species